GUCAGGUGAAACUUCAAACUCAAUUGAACCACCAGAGAAAAGAGUUGUGGCUCUCAAGAAUUUGUUCCAUAGCCUAAUGACCGACAGUAGCAAAAUUAUCACUUCCAUUUUUGCUGAUUACCCAAUUGGGAAGCUUCCAGAUCACCUGCUAAUAGAAAUCUUUAUCUGGGUUCCCAUGUUGGAAUGGGUGCAAUUUUCUUGUGUGAAGAAGCAGUGGGCUAGCCUGUUUCGAGAAGAAUGUCUGUGGAAUGCUGCCCUUCUCAGAAAUCUUCCUUUUGCUGGCCAUGCCAAAAGGUGGCCUGGGCCUAUCCCUUGAGGAUUGAGCAAAAGGAGGUAUAGUGCUUUAUAUAUCAGUAAGCACAUCACUUGAUAUUGCAUUGGAUGAGAAUCAUGAGAUAGUGGGCCAUAUCUAUUUGUUUUUGAAGGAGCAACUCGAAAUUUCAACCAUACUCACUCCUGCUGGUAUACUUCAUGGGACUAUUAUAGGUGUGCUCGACUCUUUUUUUUUUUUUUUUUUCCUUUCCCAAUAGUUUGCUUUUGGAAUUUUAACUGUAUCAACAAUAGUUGUAUCUGCUGAUUAGAAUGCCUCCUCUUGGUCACCCGUGAAUUUUGAAUUACCCAACAUGAGGGUUGCAAUAAUGCAAACGAUUUGACAUCCCCAUUGCUUGUUGGCUUUUGUUGCUCUGUGACUGUAUUUGCAAAGUUUGGACACCUUACGUUAUCCAAUGUGGUGCCAAUAAAAUUAGCUUAUAUGGGUGUUUUCAGAUGGAUCCUAUUUGAAACUGAGGAUGAAAAAAAUUGGUUUGUUCAUUCUUGUGUUCAAGCACAUACGUAUUAGCAUGAAAAUAUGUACUGUCAAAAUGUUGAUUUGUAAUGGCAUUAUUCUGUCGAGUAAUGGAAGCAAGACUUUGAGGCAGUGCAGAAGGACUGGGAUGGGGUAGCAUUUCUCAUACUAUUAAAAUGGUAGGCCCGAGGGGCGUUUUGGAGGAUUAAAAAAAAAAAAAAACUUAUAUACAAUGCAUCGACUAUUCUACGGAUCCCCUAAUCCACUAUCAAUCAGGAGUCAAAUUUUAUGAGUCAAUACAGCCUCAAAAUAGGAGGACUUAACAACCCCAUCUCAGUACACUGAAAUUUGGACAUCUUCCACAGACCACCUUUGCUCUCCAUUCCUUGUGGCUCUGGAACCUUCAGACUCCAUAGAACAUUCAGUCAUGAAGUCUUCUGUGAGUAUAGAAAACCAUGGCAUGCACUAAUUAUAGUUUCAAGCAAUGGUUCAAAUCUCCAUAAAACAUAAGGUUCUGGUUCUUAAAUGCUUUGAAAGUGUGGAAAUUUCCUUGGGAAAACCUGUGUCUUGCUUCGUUUCUUGCACUGAGAUCACAGAUUGUGCCCGAAAUAGAAACAGAAAAGUGCAACAAGAGAAGAUGGCUAAAGUUAGUUUUAUUUCAUGCGCACAGUUAGAGGCAAAUGAAUGUGUAAAUGUCAUUGAGUUGAGUGCAAAGUUGAAUAAAUCAAACUGGCAAAACAUGAGUGCUUCAGCUUCUUCAAAAGCUUGAUAACUCCUUUUGAGAAAUAGAGCAUAGUUUCAGUUUUUGAUAGUUUCCACCUUCCAAAUGCAACUGCAUACUGUCAUUGGAAUAAUGGGUUUACUGCAUUUUUGUACCUUUAUUUUCUCACGAGUUUUACAUUUGGAAGAUAGGUUUGUAUUCAUUUUAGACUUUUUUUAGGUUUAAUUUGGGUCUUCAAUUUAUCAAACGAAAUAGUAUUCUGCUAAUUAGUCUUACUAUGGAGUAUGGAUUGUUAUUCUUUUUAACUCUUUCAGAAAUUUUUUUGGCCGGCAAGACUUACUCAUCUAUAUAGACUAUAUUCUUGCGAUUCCUGUACUGUGAAGAACAUAUUCUCAAAUUUAAUUUUCCAUGAGUUUAUAUAGCGAAAUGAAAUGAAGUAAUGUCUAUGAGAAAUUUGUAAACUCUCUUGCUUAUAUAUUUUAUAAGUUAAUAUGUAUUUAGAGACAGCUACAAAUCACAAAGCCUACUCUUCUAUUUUGGAAUGUCACAUGGAAAAACACAUCUCAUUCCUUUUUAGGUACUCGUAUUUUUGCCAACUCCAAGCAGUCCAAAAUGUCUGUAAGUCAGAUUUUCAAUAUCUGCUCUUUGAGGGUAUAAUGGUAGCUUUUUUCCUCUUCAAGAGGCCUAACAGUUAGUUAAUGACGCUACUGUCAUUUUUGUUCUCUGUUUCUAUUCUCUUCAACUUCUAAAUCUUUGAUGGCUAAGAGAUGCUGCUGGCUAAGUAAUUGAUUUCAGUUGUGAUGACAUUCUUGUGGAUCCAACUCAUACCAGAUUGCUUUGGUACUGUGACACUUAUUUGGUUUUGCUGUUGUUGAUGUUGCUUGCUCUCUUGCAACUCCUACAUCUUGGAGAGCUAAGAGAUGAGGCUGACAGGCUGUCAAAGUUUUGGUUUUAGCCUCGCUUAUUGGAACCAAUUCAUCAGUUUGCCUUGGUUUUAGCCUCGCUUUUGGUGUGCUGCUGCUGCCAUUGCUGUAUGGAUACAUGACUAUUUUGUGUGGCUUUGUUUGAUCCAAUUUGCCACUGUUCGGGCUCUAUUGCUGCUGGCUUAUUGGUACUGAAUUUGAUGCCUUUUGUAACUGUAGUGCUUCAAUCUUGCGCGUGGACUUGUUUUUGCCUCUACCUUUUUCUUCAACAUCCAAUGCUUUAUUGGAGUUUUUUUUUCUUUCCCUAUCCCAUGUAUCAAUAUCAUGGUACAAAACUAGAAGCAAUUUCUGCGAGCACAAUUGCACAGCAUGGCAUUCAGUUAGUUGCCACUACUCAUGGGGUGACAAUAGAGAAUUUAACUAUGAAUCUUCACUGGGGAUGCUUGUUGGAGGAAUACAGGUGAUAUAGCAUUUGGUUGUGAUGUGUGCUUUCUACUUGAUAUGCAAUUUCUAAUGAUACUUUGAAUAAUUGUUACUUCCACUUAUCAGGUGUUUACUUUAAGUAAUUCUCAUACAGCUAUACCAUUUCUGUUAAUAGUUUUUUAUUUGUGUCUUGUACUCGCAUAAUGGUACCAAUGACAUGCAUGGAUCAUUACCAAAGCUCAUUUUGUGACUUUAUGGGAUUUUAUGACUAUUUGGGUCUGUAAUGUUAAUUCUCUAGGAGAAGAAUGGCUUACUUUGUGAUGGCUUGUCACAUUACUUAUCUAUUUUUCAGAGUGUGACUCUAGGGGACGAAGAAGCAAGUCGGAGGGGUGUUCAGAAAACAAUACUAGAGAGGAAAGGUCCCUCAACCUUUAGUUGUGGUGUAGAGAUAAUUUCGAAGACUGAGCUACAAGUUCAUCGCAAUUUAGAAGCAACAGUCGAUGCUAUUCUUCCUGGCAUCUUUUCCUCCUUGUUCAAGACAAAAUCCUGGCAUUUACUUCUCCCAUUUUCCAUUUCUUUGUUAAUUGUCCUUAACAAGUGCCCGUUCCAGUUUGCCUAAUUGUUUGACAUUCUGUUACUGUUGUGUUCAGGAAGGUGGCUGCCCAAACUAUGAAGUUCGCAGGUUGAACCAAGGAUCAGAAGCUAAAACUGCAGAAGGAAAACCUUUCAUUCGUUAUUCUUUAGGCACGGAAAAUGAAAGUGUGGCUGAAUAUACUCUUGGGAGAAUGAUGCGACACCUACCAAGCUUGAAAUCAUUCCUGAAAUGCCUCAAACCAAGGGAGUAACUUCUUCUGUUGACGGGGCACGUAUUUGUUUGUUUUUUUAUGGGGUAAGUCAUCAUCUUCGUUUGAUAGUGUCUACAUAGAUGCCAUCCACUCUGUUUUCUGUUUUGUAAGCUAGGUUAAAAUGAGUGUUUCAAAGUUUUUUGAAUUUGCUGACCUUAGUUGUGGUCCUUGUGGAUGAACUAAAUAGGAGUAUUCAAGAGGAUGAUAAUUGGUGUAUCUUGUUUAUAGAGGCCGAAGAUAUAGUUUUGGCUGGGGAAAACAGAAAAGUAAACUAUGAGCUAGACUUGUCAUAAUAUACACUGGAAUCUGAACUGUGUAAGGAGAACUGAGAGAUGGAGUGUAAUUUUAGCAAAGAUAGAUUAAGAUGAAGAUUGAGUAGAACUUUAUAGGCAGCUGAUACUUAAGAGCGGAGACUUUUGAUAGCUUGGUCAUUUACUCAGAAACAUGGACAACUUUUGGAGGAUGUGAAUCUUGGAAUUAGGGAGGGAUGGAUGAAAGAGAUGUGCAUCAGAUAUGUUGUGUGAUCACGGGGUAGCAGUGAAGUUUUUUUUUUUUAACAGAAGUUAGCAAUGAAGUUGAAAGGGUACAUUUGAUAAGCCUGAUAUAAGAUCUACUAUGCUGUAUGCACCCAUGUUAGGUGGUUACUGGUUAGGGAGAAUAUAUUUGCACAAUUACUGUAGCUGGACGAGAGUAUUGAAAUCGAUGUUGGCAUUAUGAGAAAUUAUAAUUUGAAAUGAAUCUAUCAGGAUGAAUUGAGAUGCAGCACUAAUGAAAGACAGUGGCAAAGAAAUAGUUGGAAGGCUUAGGAGAACAUUGAUUGGGGCGAUAAGGUAGGACAGUGUCACAGACAAAGAUUUCGUUCAAUAGGCUUAUUCAAGAAGUCAUGAUUAAUGCUAGUUUUUAGUUCUACAAGACCUAUCAAAAUCAAGUUUCAAAACAUCAAUGUGAUACCAUAUUAUUUCCAGUAGCAUCUAGAGAAAUGAUAUCCAAUCUUUGAUGCCAUUACUACUAUUUGUUUGCUCUUGUUUGACUACAUUUGAAAUCUUAUGUCCUCAAUUAAGCUUUAGGUCAUCUUCUCCUGUCUCAAGUGCGAAGCCAAGUGUUGUGGUGUCAAACGACACUGCUGAAAUUUGGAACCAAAUAUAAUUGAGACAAGGUCUGUUGAGUUGAGUUGAGUAGAAUGUUAUCAUGUAGCCUAUGCAGUGAAUUCCAUCAGGCAAAGGAGGAAAGAAUAAUUUCUAGAUUGAACAUCUAUGAUUAUAAGCUUCACUCUUCCCCUUCCCAAAAAAUCUAUCCUUGUUAAAUGCCUUUUUCGGUAGAUGGAUGCUAAAACUCGCCAGAAUGAACACGGGGGAUGGAAUUUUUUUUCUUGUCAAAAAAAAAAAAGACAAAAAAGAUGAAUGGCCGAACUUUCCUUUCAAUAACUAGGACAGUUGUCCUUAAUAGCAUGUUCUUGGGAUUAGCUUAUUUAGGUAAAUUAUUAAUGUCCAUUUGAUACUUGGUUGGAGGAUCUUUUUGAUGGAUUGAGUUUUUUGUGCCACUCGACAGAUACAAUCUUGUAAAUCUCCUUAAGAGUGUCUUAGCUUUGGAUCUUUCAAAAACCAAGUUGAGAAGAAUAAGCCUUCUGAUUUUUGUUCUAGUUAACAGGCUACCAUCAAUUACCGGAAGAGCAACAGAGUGACUUUGCAGUUUCGCUCCGAUAUUUGGCGAGAGAUCUGCGCUUGCCAAGUAGGAGAAUGUUUUCUUUAUAGGCAAAGCUGGUUCUCUAUUGUCUUCUUCUUGCUUGCUCCUUGUUAAUUUUGUAAAUAGCAUUUCGCAUCUCUUAUUUUCACUAUCAUAUGGAGUACUUUUAAAGAUAUGUAGUACUUUGCUUUCUAGGGCUUUGAUCCCUUUGUAACUCUCUUUUUCCACUCCAUGCAUAUAUUGAAUAUAGAAUUACUUGCAGGGUCUCUUUGUUUGGAGGAUAAUUAUUAGCAUAAUAUUAGAGGCUGAAUGAUUUAUGUAUCUGCAAAUAAGAAAUGCUUGAUACUCUAAAUAUUUUUCUCUAUGAAACCACUAUUGUCCAAGCUCAACCAAAAUUCUCAAAGAUUGAGCACGUGGUGUCGUGCAAAGCACGUUGAAUUACACUAGUAUUUAUAUUGUAUGCUGCAGAUUGUUGGUUUCCGAAAUCGAUCGAGGCUGUAGUUCUCCCUUCCAUAAAUGUAGUUUGGACUAUUUAUUGUGCUUUCUGAUUUGUUUUGUUUCUCCGCGUACUUAAUCUGCAUGUUUUUUACCCAUGCAAGCUGUAGAUUGUUGGUUUCCGAAAUCGAUCGUGGCUAUAGAUCUCCCUUCCAUAAAUAUAUACGUAGUCCAGCCGAUUUAUUGUGCUUCCUGAUUUGUUUUGAUCCAUGCGUACUUAAUCCACAUGUUUCCUACCCAUCCAGGGUACAUUCCUCUCGAUUUUUCCUGUGAUUCUGGUCUCCUGUUUGUGCUUUCCUGUAUUUUUUUAAUAUUUGCUUCUUUUUUAUUAGGUAUUCAUAAUGUUCCAGAUUUUCCUGACGCAUACGUUAUGAUGGAGUUUAUAAGAGUUAUAUGAAAUUUUGGGACAAAAGUUUUUUUGACAAUCAAAAGAAGCAAUAUAGUUCUGAAUGUGUGAUAUAUAUUGUUUUGUUUAUCUCUUCUUCUGAUGAUACAAUAGCUGGGUUUUUUUAUGCGAUUAAGUUGAUACUAUUUUCCCCUAAGGUUGGGUUCUUUGCUUCUUGUGUUGUUUGAUAUGGUUGUUUUAAGCAUGUCGCAUGGCGCUUAUAGAUCUGUUUGUGGUGUUCUUGGUUUGAAUAUAUAUUUGCUAUUGAGUGUGUUUGAGGGUGCUUAUAGAUCCAUUUGUAGUGUUUGAUAUGAUUGUUUUAAGCAUACCACAUGGUGCUUAUAGAUUUGUUUGUAGUGUUCUUAGUUUUGCAAUAUAUUUUCUAUUGAGGGUGUAUUUGCUAUUCAGGACCAGUGAUUAGAAUAGAUCUCGGAACAACAUACUCAUGCGUCAAAGUUUGGGAGCACAAUCGCAUCGAGAUCAUCGCUAACAACCAAGGGAACUGUACGAGUUUGGUCCUUUGAUAUCUGCCAUUCCUUUGCCUCUGCGCUUAUCUCAUGAGUUGGGCUGACGACGUGAACAAAUGAGUUCCGUCGAGUUGAGUUUUCCAUAAAUUUAUAGUCGCUUUGAGUGUCAAAACCACACCCGAAAAGAACGAGGAAUUGGAGGGAAUUGAAGACUCCGAUGGUAUAGAUGAGGAUAUUGACCAUGAAACUCAAUCGAUUUGGAAAAACUUGAAGAAAAUGCAAAAGAAUAGGAAUUGGAUGCCUUUUAGGUUCGAAAAGUUUUGCGAUGUAAGUUAGCAUCUACAAUCAGGGACUUAUUUUUAAAAUUUUCCUAACUCACCUGGCAGACAUGGUCUGGCUUUGUCAUUGUAGUUUUGAUAAGCCAUGAAGAGAUUACUUCUCAACAAGUUCUUCGCCAAAGUCAGCGGAGCUAAGCGUCAAAACAAAGCCCAUAGGCCAUUGUUGUAUGCAAACGAUGACAGAGCUGUGGCAGUGAUGUUUGUAGCUUUCGGCAGGUGAGGUACAACAUGAAGUCCGCUUCGUAGAACUUGGCACUUUCUUCUCCUAUAUAUUUUGACUUGUAAUUAUUUAAUGUUUUCAGCAGAUGAUGUAUGAAUAUAAGUGAGGAUUGUUUUAUCUUUUUCUCGUACUGAUGUCUAGAGUUUCUAUUGAGACUGCCAGAGAAUGAUUGGACACCACUGCCUCACUGAUUCUGCUUUAUUUGGGUUCAACAUUUAGGUGAGUUUUCUAUGAAAUGAUCUAUAUGGAACAAUGAAGGAUUGAUAUGUUGUUGUGCUGAAUAAUUUUUUUUUUUUUUUUUUUUUGACCAUGUGUUUUUGAUCACCUAUUUAAGAGACUUUUUCUUUAUCUCCAAUUUUUAUUUUUGUAGACUCUCGAAGCUAUACUUCACUAUAGGCCACAAUCCCUACUCAUGAACUCGUUUUGAGGCUGAAAUUGGGUACCAUCUAGAAUCGAUAAACCAAAUUUGUUACCAUGGCUCCAACAAAUUGAUUAAACCGAAUUCGUUUAAAACUACGACCCAUCUAAACAAAGCAGACUACUUAUUCAAGUGCGGGUGCCUUUGUUUUUUAUUUAUUUAUAAGUAAAUAAAUAAAUUAGAGAAAAAUGUGGCUGCCUUUAUUUUGAACAAGGACAUCCACAAUUGGGAUGUAAAAAGCAAUAGCUAGAUGGAUGACAUAUUCAUAAGUGUACAUAUUUAGUUGUCAAUGAAGUGUUUGAUAUAUAGUGAACGAUAGUGAGUGUUGUUUUUGUCUUUAUCUAAUAGUAGCUGCUAUGAUUUAGUUGGCAUGAUUCCUUUGUUUUUGUGUCACUGAUACCUAUAAAAUUCAUUUUCGCAGGAGAACUAUCACCAUGGCAAACCAGUUAUAAAUAUGUAACGAUACGUAUAUAACAAAUAAUAGAAGUAUUAUCCUUCUCCCCCACAUUUUAUACAUGUGCUAAAUUAAGUUCUGUGUCUCGCUUUUGAUGCAUCACCACCCAAAACUUCCCUCCCAUUUUCCCUUCAGCAUGUUGUAAUGUGACAUAGAGACAAAUAAUAGAUAUCAUGCAAGAAAUACACAAUUUGGGUAAGUCAUUCUUGGAGCUAAUUUCAAUUUUAUCCUUUUCAGGUAUGAUUGGUGAUUGUAUGGGUUAACGACAGGAUUAUAAUCACCCUUUGAUACUGUCCUUGGCAUAGAUCAGUAGCUUGUUUAAUGAAGCAGUAAGCCUUCAAUCACACUCUACGUUGACCAUUG